rnacentral:lncRNA from 1 species
CCAAAGCCAUUCAACCAAUCCCCAGAUAAUCCAGAGCUCUUGGGAGCAGAACCUUAAAGAGAGAUCGUGGAGAGAGCCAGGGCCCAGAAGAACUCUCUCAAAGAGAAGAGGGCAGCCAAGAUGACCCGAUGGUCCAGUUACCUGUUGGGAUGGACAACCUUCCUUCUCUAUUCCUAUGAGUCAAGUGGAGGAAUUUCCGCGUUGGUCCCUGGCUUUCCUUGUCACUUUCCGUUCAACUAUAAAAACAAGAAUUAUUUUAACUGCACUAACGAAGGAUCAAAGGAGAACCUUGUGUGGUGUGCAACUUCUUACAACUACGACCAAGACCACACCUGGGUGUAUUGCUGAUGCUGAGGAAAGGAGAAAUAUCUUCAGAGGAAGACUGCCGCCAUACUGAGGCUGAGCACAGAUUUGUCUUUUUCAUUGCAUCUGUCAAGCUUAAAUAACCACCUUUAGAAAUACCCUCUGCACCACCUGCUUCAAUCAGCUGGUCCUUUGUGAAGAACGUAGAGAGAAUGCGGCAUAACCACCAAUAAAGGAGUCUUGAUUUAACCCUG